GGAGCGGGAACGCCUUGGUAAGGUUGAAAGAGGACGUCUUGGUAAGGGAGAAAGGGAACACCCAGGGGGAGGGGAGUUUGUUGACAAACUCUAUGUUGGUUCCAUUAACAAACAAGCUUCAAAACAGGAAAUUGAAGAAAUAUUUUCUCCAUAUGGUCAUGUAGAAGAUGUCUACAUUGCUCGAGACAUACUGAAGCAAAGUCGUGGAUGUGCAUUUAUUAAAUUUUCUCACCGAGAUAUGGCAGUGGCAG
rnacentral:misc_RNA from 1 species